GUACCUGCGGAAGGAUCAUUACUGAUUUGCUUAAUUGCACCACAUGUGUUUUUUAUUGAACAAAUUUCUUUGGUGGCGGGAGCAAUCCUACCGCCAGAGGUUAUAACUAAACCAAACUUUUUAUUUACAGUCAAACUUGAUUUAUUAUUACAAUAGUCAAAACUUUCAACAACGGAUCUCUUGGUUCUCGCAUCGAUGAAGAACGCAGCGAAAUGCGAUACGUAAUAUGAAUUGCAGAUAUUCGUGAAUCAUCGAAUCUUUGAACGCACAUUGCGCCCUUUGGUAUUCCAAAGGGCAUGCCUGUUUGAGCGUCAUUUCUCCCUCAAACCCCCGGGUUUGGUGUUGAGCAAUACGCUAGGUUUGUUUGAAAGAAUUUAACGUGGAAACUUAUUUUAAGCGACUUAGGUUUAUCCAAAACGCUUAUUUUGCUAGUGGCCACCACAAUUUAUUUCAUAACUUUGACCUCAAAUCAGGUAGGACUACCCGCUGAACUUAAGCAUAUCAAAGCGGGAAGGAAAG
rnacentral:rRNA from 1 species